UUUACAGGCGGUGAACCCACAUCCAUCCAUCACGUCCCUCACUGCUGCAGUCAGAUUGAAUCUGAUCAUGGAUGGGAUAGAGACAUCGAGGCUGUCCUUGCCUGAAUGCACAGAGAGGAUGAGGAAGACCAUGAUGAAGACCUUGAACCACACAACCCUGAACAAGAGCAGGAGAACACAUGCGGGACAAUCUGACUGCUGCUGUGUCUGCUCCAAACAUCUGUGUGCUGCUCUCCAUUAGCACCACUACCUGUAAAACACUUACACAGAUGAACUGGACUGGUCAGCAGAAGGUUGCUGGAACAAUCUGGAGGGAUUGAGGUCCCUGUAAUAAGAGCACUAUGUUCUCACUGGCUCUGGG
ensembl:lncRNA